rnacentral:rRNA from 1 species
AUGCAUACGGCCUACCUGAAUUCAGAUGCAACCCAAGGCUCAAUUUUAGCAGAGACAAAUAUGAUGGGCGAAUUUGAUCACAGCUCAUCAUACAAAUUCAGAUGCAUCUCCGAGGAGCUUGGCGGCAGGGUGCAGGAGACGGCCGGAGCGCCGGACCAAGCACUCCUCUUCCUCCACAGGGUCGUCGGCGACCCCGACAUGUUGCGCCGCCUCGCGAGCAGCCCGGGUAGCGGCCACGGCCAGGACGAGGGCGCGCGGGUCAACAGGCCGGGGGCGCUUCUCGACAGCAGGGAAGAACAGAAGACCACUGCGCCGCCAUCCUCCUCCCGCUGCUCCAGCACGGAUCGAGCACCACCGCCCGUGUAA